rnacentral:rRNA from 1 species
UCUGGGACAAGCCCUGGAAACGGGGUCUAAUACCGGAUAACACUCUGUCCCGCAUGGGACGGGGUUAAAAGCUCCGGCGGUGAAGGAUGAGCCCGCGGCCUAUCAGCUUGUUGGUGGGGUAAUGGCCUACCAAGGCGACGACGGGUAGCCGGCCUGAGAGGGCGACCGGCCACACUGGGACUGAGACACGGCCCAGACUCCUACGGGAGGCAGCAGUGGGGAAUAUUGCACAAUGGGCGAAAGCCUGAUGCAGCGACGCCGCGUGAGGGAUGACGGCCUUCGGGUUGUAAACCUCUUUCAGCAGGGAAGAAGCGAAAGUGACGGUACCUGCAGAAGAAGCGCCGGCUAACUACGUGCCAGCAGCCGCGGUAAUACGUAGGGCGCAAGCGUUGUCCGGAAUUAUUGGGCGUAAAGAGCUCGUAGGCGGCUUGUCACGUCGGAUGUGAAAGCCCGGGGCUUAACCCCGGGUCUGCAUUCGAUACGGGCUAGCUAGAGUGUGGUAGGGGAGAUCGGAAUUCCUGGUGUAGCGGUGAAAUGCGCAGAUAUCAGGAGGAACACCGGUGGCGAAGGCGGAUCUCUGGGCCAUUACUGACGCUGAGGAGCGAAAGCGUGGGGAGCGAACAGGAUUAGAUACCCUGG